CCUACGGGUGGCAGCAGUGGGGAAUAUUGGACAAUGGGGGGAACCCUGAUCCAGCCAUGCCGCGUGUGUGAAGAAGGCCCUCGGGUUGUAAAGCACUUUCAGUGAGGAAGAACGCCUGGUGGUUAAUACCCAUCAGGAAAGACAUCACUCACAGAAGAAGCACCGGCUAACUCCGUGCCAGCAGCCGCGGUAAUACGGAGGGUGCGAGCGUUAAUCGGAAUUACUGGGCGUAAAGCGCGCGUAGGUGGCUUGAUAAGCCGGUUGUGAAAGCCCCGGGCUCAACCUGGGGACGGCAUCCGGAACUGUCAAGCUAGAGUGCAGGAGAGGAAGGUAGAAUUCCCGGUGUAGCGGUGAAAUGCGUAGAGAUCGGGAGGAAUACCAGUGGCGAAGGCGGCCUUCUGGACUGACACUGACACUGAGGUGCGAAAGCGUGGGUAGCAAACAGGAUUAGAUACCCUGGUAGUC
rnacentral:rRNA from 1 species